GCCGUUCCGAGUUGGGGGGUUUCUGUGUUGUGGGUCCGGGAAGAAGCGAGCGUGGAAAGGUGCCGGGUUCUCGAACGCUGUUUCUGUCCACUGCCACCCUCCUCCCCGUUCUGGGAGUGGGAUUAAGUCGUGUCUGUGGGUCUGGCCAUCUCCGGAGUCUGCAGCUUGGGGCCGAUUCCUCGGUCUCUACCUCCUGUUGCAGGUCCUUAAUCAUUCAACAGAGACAUAAUAACUUUAUUGGAUGGAGCAAUACUUCUUGCUAAUCAGCAUAUACACACCCAGUGACCUUGCAUGAAGAAGCAGCCUGUCUGCAGAAGAUUGCAUCUCAUCUAUACAAAGCAGGAGUGAUGUUGUCAAUGUGUGUGUGUGCAUGCAUUUAUGUAUCUGUAUGCUUGUGCAGAGAGGGGAAGAUGGGGGAGGGGAUGUGGCUUUGUUACUUAGCUUGCUUGAUUUUUAUCCACAGUUAUUAAGAGGUAAAACAUUGUAGCUCAACCCCUAGAAGUGGUCGUUUGCUUUACAGAGAGGAAAAUCUCUGCCCCCUUACCAUGGCUUGCAUUUCCAGCCCCAAAAGGCAAAAACAGGGAGCACGUAACUCAGUGGAAUCAAUAGCACGACCAGAAAGUCAAUUCAGUCAUAUGAUGGUGGAUCAGUAUCAUCAUUGUAAAGGAGAGGAGAUCACUGUACUGUCAGAUGCAUCACUCUGACUUUCCCCCAUCACUGUGGAAAAAGGAGGGAAAAAAGCCUUCAAUCAUAAUAGGAAAGGUAAACAGUUUUUCAAACUUACAAACAUAUGUACAUGUCUUCCUCUGUAUCAUUUCAUGUAUGUUGUUUUUAUGUAUGUACCUGUACAAAAAGAUGUAAAUAUCACUUAACCUUGAGUAAUAUAAUAAUACAUGUGAAUUCUAAUUUUAGUUCCACUAAGUAUUAAUAAUUAAUGGUAACUUCGUUGAGUGUGAGAAUUCCACAAGGUUGCGUUAGAAUUCUGAAUGACAUUUUGUUUUUGCUUUAUUGGGCUUUGAUAUGUCAGACAAGAGAAUUCAACUUUUCUCCUGUGUGAAUGAAUUCAAUAGUCUGUUGAGAGAGAUGCCAGUUUUUAGGUUGCAUCCACCAUUUUUAUUUUUAGCUCCAUCUGUUGUCUUUAAUCAAGUUGCUGUUAAAACUCUGAUAAAAUACUUGGUUUGUAGCAUUGGUAUUGUCCCCACCAGCUUCCCUAAAAUGAGCGCUCCGAUUCUAAUCCCCAAAGAUGUUUGAAUUUGUCUCCAGUUGACAUCCAAAAGUCUCAUCUUCCUGGAUUUCCUUCCUCCUCUUGCCCCCUCUGCCCUUUCCCACUAUCCCAGUUCCUAGCAUCUCCCUGACCCUUGGGUUAGAGCCCAGGGAGAUGGACCACUGAAUCCAAC
rnacentral:lncRNA from 10 species